rnacentral:rRNA from 1 species
GAGUGAAAUAGAACCUGAAACCGUGUGCUUACAAGUAGUCAGAGCCCGUUAAUGGGUGAUGGCGUGCCUUUUGUAGAAUGAACCGGCGAGUUACGAUUUGAUGCAAGGUUAAGCAGUAAAUGUGGAGCCGUAGCGAAAGCGAGUCUGAAUAGGGCGUUUAGUAUUUGGUCGUAGACCCGAAACCAGGUGAUCUACCCUUGGUCAGGUUGAAGUUCAGGUAACACUGAAUGGAGGACCGAACCGACUUACGUUGAAAAGUGAGCGGAUGAACUGAGGGUAGCGGAGAAAUUCCAAUCGAACCUGGAGAUAGCUGGUUCUCUCCGAAAUAGCUUUAGGGCUAGCCUCAAGUGAUGAUUAUUGGAGGUAGAGCACUGUUUGGACGAGGGGCCCCUCUCGGGUUACCGAAUUCAGACAAACUCCGAAUGCCAAUUAAUUUAACUUGGGAGUCAGAACAUGGGUGAUAAGGUCCGUGUUCGAAAGGGAAACAGCCCAGACCACCAGCUAAGGUCCCAAAAUAUAUGUUAAGUGGAAAAGGAUGUGGCGUUGCCCAGACAACUAGGAUGUUGGCUUAGAAGCAGCCAUCAUUUAAAGAGUGCGUAAUAGCUCACUAGUCGAGUGACACUGCGCCGAAAAUGUACCGGGGCUAAACAUAUUACCGAAGCUGUGGAUUGUCCUUUGGACAAUGGUAGGAGAGCGUUCUAAGGGCGUUGAAGCAUGAUCGUAAGGACAUGUGGAGCGCUUAGAAGUGAGAAUGCCGGUGUGAGUAGCGAAAGACGGGUGAGAAUCCCGUCCACCGAUUGACUAAGGUUUCCAGAGGAAGGCUCGUCCGCUCUGGGUUAGUCGGGUCCUAAGCUGAGGCCGACAGGCGUAGGCGAUGGAUAACAGGUUGAUAUUCCUGUACCACCUAUAAUCGUUUUAAUCGAUGGGGGGACGCAGUAGGAUAGGCGAAGCGUGCGAUUGGAUUGCACGUCUAAGCAGUAAGGCUGAGUAUUAGGCAAAUCCGGUACUCGUUAAGGCUGAGCUGUGAUGGGGAGAAGACAUUGUGUCUUCGAGUCGUUGAUUUCACACUGCCGAGAAAAGCCUCUAGAUAGAAAAUAGGUGCCCGUACCGCAAACCGACACAGGUAGUCAAGAUGAGAAUUCUAAGGUGAGCGAGCGAACUCUCGUUAAGGAACUCGGCAAAAUGACCCCGUAACUUCGGGAGAAGGGGUGCUCUUUAGGGUUAACGCCCAGAAGAGCCGCAGUGAAUAGGCCCAAGCGACUGUUUAUCAAAAACACAGGUCUCUGCUAAACCGUAAGGUGAUGUAUAGGGGCUGACGCCUGCCCGGUGCUGGAAGGUUAAGAGGAGUGGUUAGCUUCUGCGAAGCUACGAAUCGAAGCCCCAGUAAACGGCGGCCGUAACUAUAACGGUCCUAAGGUAGCGAAAUUCCUUGUCGGGUAAGUUCCGACCCGCACGAAAGGCGUAACGAUUUGGGCACUGUCUCAACGAGAGACUCGGUGAAAUCAUAGU